UUUAUGUAAAAUGACCUAAAAUGAACUCAAACGAACACUGACAUAAAUUGAAUUAAUAUUCGCAAAAAAUAAGGCAACCAGAUAAUUCAGGUCCCUAAGACAAAUCAAUCGCUCCUGCCUGGCUUACUUUACUCUGCCAUGAUUACAGAUUU